AACACAUGCAAGUCGAACGGAAAGGCCCUGCUUUUGUGGGGUGCUCGAGUGGCGAACGGGUGAGUAACACGUGAGUAACCUGCCCUUGACUUUGGGAUAACUUCAGGAAACUGGGGCUAAUACCGGAUAGGAGCUCCUGCUGCAUGGUGGGGGUUGGAAAGUUUCGGCGGUUGGGGAUGGACUCGCGGCUUAUCAGCUUGUUGGUGGGGUAGUGGCUUACCAAGGCUUUGACGGGUAGCCGGCCUGAGAGGGUGACCGGCCACAUUGGGACUGAGAUACGGCCCAGACUCCUACGGGAGGCAGCAGUGGGGAAUAUUGCACAAUGGGCGGAAGCCUGAUGCAGCAACGCCGCGUGCGGGAUGACGGCCUUCGGGUUGUAAACCGCUUUCGCCUGUGACGAAGCGUGAGUGACGGUAAUGGGUAAAGAAGCACCGGCUAACUACGUGCCAGCAGCCGCGGUGAUACGUAGGGUGCGAGCGUUGUCCGGAUUUAUUGGGCGUAAAGGGCUCGUAGGUGGUUGAUCGCGUCGGAAGUGUAAUCUUGGGGCUUAACCCUGAGCGUGCUUUCGAUACGGGUUGACUUGAGGAAGGUAGGGGAGAAUGGAAUUCCUGGUGGAGCGGUGGAAUGCGCAGAUAUCAGGAGGAACACCAGUGGCGAAGGCGGUUCUCUGGGCCUUUCCUGACGCUGAGGAGCGAAAGCGUGGGGAGCGAACAGGCUUAGAUACCCUGGUAGUCCACGCUGUAAACGGUGGGUACUAGGUGUGGGGUCCAUUCCACGGGUUCCGUGCCGUAGCUAACGCUUUAAGUACCCCGCCUGGGGAGUACGGCCGCAAGGCUAAAACUCAAAGGAAUUGACGGGGCCCCGCACAAGCGGCGGAGCAUGCGGAUUAAUUCGAUGCAACGCGUAGAACCUUACCUGGGUUUGACAUGGAUCGGGAGUGCUCAGAGAUGGGUGUGCCUCUUUUGGGGUCGGUUCACAGGUGGUGCAUGGCUGUCGUCAGCUCGUGUCGUGAGAUGUUGGGUUAAGUCCCGCAACGAGCGCAACCCUUGUUCACUGUUGCCAGCACGUUAUGGUGGGGACUCAGUGGAGACCGCCGGGGUCAACUCGGAGGAAGGUGGGGAUGACGUCAAGUCAUCAUGCCCCUUAUGUCCAGGGCUUCACGCAUGCUACAAUGGCUGGUACAGAGAGUGGCGAGCCUGUGAGGGCGAGCGAAUCUCGGAAAGCCGGUCUCAGUUCGGAUUGGGGUCUGCAACUCGACCUCAUGAAGUCGGAGUCGCUAGUAAUCGCAGAUCAGCAACGCUGCGGUGAAUACGUUCCCGGGGCUUGUACACACCGCCCGUCAAGUCAUGAAAGUUGGUAACACCCGAAGCCGGUGGCCUAACCGUUGUGGGGGAGCCGUCGAAGGUGGGACUGGUGAUUAGGACUAAAUCA
rnacentral:rRNA from 1 species